UAUUAAUAAAAUUGUUUUGUUUUCUUUUUGUUUUGGUUACUUUUUAAUUAAAUAAAUUUGUGUUAUUGUAGAAUAAAUUGAUUAAAUUAUUUUUGCUAUAGUAAAUUAGUACUGUGAAGGAAUAUUUUGAAUAUAUUUUAUGAUUAAUAAAAGGUAAUUUUAUUUAUUGUAUCUUGUGUAUCAGAGUAUAUUUAAAUGGAUUAUAAAUUUUUUUUUCUCGAAUUUUAAAGAUUUAAUUGAAAAUAUUAGUUAUUGUUGCAUAAAUAUUAAUAAUUUUUAGUUGGUAAUGAAACGUUAUUCGUUUUUAAGGAUAUCUAGUUUUUUAAUAAAUGAAUUUAAUUCAGAAAAUAUAAUUUAUUAAAUAAUUAAUUAUUUGUAUAUUUUGUAUUUUAAUUUUAAAAGGGUAAACUUUUUAAAAUAUAAUUAUAAUAUUAUGAAUUAGUAAGGAUUUUAUAAAUUUGGAAUUUGUUAAUGAUUAAAGGAUGUUAAAAUUUAAUUCUUUGUUUGAGUGAUUUUAAAUUUUUAUUUAAUUUUUAUAUUAAAAUGUUAAGUUUAAUUUGGAAAUUUUAGAAAAUAUGAUUUAAUUAGUAAAAUUUUGAUUUAUUUUGUUAAGUUAAUUGGUGUGUUAAUAUGAAGAAUUAGGCAAAAAUUUUGCUCACCUGUUUAUYAAAAACAUGGUUUCUUGUAUUUUAUUUAAGAAAUUUGACCUGCCCACUGAAUGAAUUUUUGAAGGGCCGCAGUAUAUUGACUGUGCAAAGGUAGCAUAAUCAUUAGUCUUUUAAUUGAAGGCUGGUAUGAAUGGUUGGAUGAGGUGAAUUCUGUUUUAUUUUAAUUUGAGUUGAAUUUAGAUUUUAAGUAAAAAGACUUAAAUAAUAUUAAGGGACGAGAAGACCCUAUAGAGUUUAAUAAAUGCAUUAAUUAGUUGGGUUAAUGAAUAUGAUUUUUGAUUAUUAUGAAAUUUAUUUAAUUGGGGUGAUUGGAAGAUAAAAACAACUCUUCUUUAUGUUUAAUAUUUUUAUUAGCAAUUUGAUCCGUAUUUAAUGAUUAAAAGAUUAAAUUACCUUAGGGAUAACAGCAUAAUUCUUUUUGAGAGUUCAUAUCGAAAAAAGAGGUUGUGACCUCGAUGUUGGAUUAAGAUUGGUUUUGGGUGUAGGUGUUCAAUAACUAGGUCUGUUCGACCUUAAAAAUCUUACAUGAUCUGAGUUUAAACCGGCGUGAGCCAGGUUGGUUUCUAUCUUUAAUUGAUUUAAAUAUUUUAGUACGAGAGGACCAAGUAUUUCAAAUAAUUUUUGUUUUUAUUGAAUACUAUUAAUUGA
rnacentral:rRNA from 1 species